rfam:Rhizobiales bacterium 63-7 SCNpilot_expt_1000_bf_scaffold_1833, whole genome shotgun sequence.
GGAGGUUGGUGGUGGACGCGCCGCUCGCCAACCGGGUCAGGUCCGGAAGGAAGCAGCCCUAACGAUCCCGGCACGGGUCAUCGUGCCAGCCUCCCAC